rnacentral:rRNA from 1 species
UACAGAGGGUGCAAGCGUUAAUCGGGAGUUACUGGGCGUAAAGGGCGCGUAGGCGGUUAUUUAAGUUAGAUGUGAAAAUCCCUGGGCUUAACCUAGGAACUGCAUCUAAGACUGGAUGACUGGAGUAUUGUAGAGGGUAGUGGAAUUUCCGGUGUAGCGGUGAAAUGCGUAGAGAUCGGAAGGAACACCAGUGGCGAAGGCGGCUACCUGGACAAAUACUGACGCUGAGGCGCGAAAGCGUGGGGAUCAAACAGG